AAGUGAAACCGCCCCGGCUUGCUGGGGUGGUCUGCCGGACGUGGUUGUCCGGUACUGAUGAGCAGCCACCC
rnacentral:hammerhead_ribozyme from 1 species